AAUCAACGCUGGCGGCGUGCCUCAGACAUGCAAGUCGAACGCGAAAGUUUCCUUCGGGAAGCGAGUAGAGUGGCGUCCGGGUGAGUAACACGUAGGUAAUCUACCUUUGGGUGGGGAAUAACAACCGGAAACGGUUGCUAAUACCGCAUAAUGCAGCGGCACCACAUGGUGACAGUUGUUAAAGCGGGGGAUCGCAAGACCUCGCGCCUAAAGAGGAGCCUGCGGCGGAUUAGCUAGNGGUAAGGUAACGGCUUACCAAGGCAACGAUCCGUAGCCGGCCUGAGAGGGCGGUCGGCCACACUGGGACUGAGACACGGCCCAGACUCCUACGGGAGGCAGCAGUGGGGAAUUUUUGUCAAUGGGGGAAACCCUGAACAAGCAACGCCGCGUGGAGGACGAAGACC
rnacentral:rRNA from 1 species